rnacentral:rRNA from 1 species
UACAGAGGUCUCAAGCGUUGUUCGGAUUCAUUGGGCGUAAAGGGUGUGUAGGUGGCGCCGUAAGUCGGGUGUGAAAUCUCGGGGCUUAACUCCGAAACUGCAUUCGAUACUGCGGUGCUUGAGGACUGGAGAGGAGACUGGAAUUCAUGGUGUAGCAGUGAAAUGCGUAGAGAUCAUGAGGAAGACCAGUGGCGAAGGCGGGUCUCUGGACAGUUCUGACACUGAGACACGAAGGCCAGGGGAGCAAAACGGG